rnacentral:rRNA from 1 species
AGUGAAUAGAUACCCAGGUAGUCCACGCUGUAAACGAUCAAUACUAGGUGUGCGGGGACUGACCCCCUGCGUGCCGGAGUUAAACACAAUAAGUAUUGCACCUGGGGAGUACGAUCGCAAGGUUGAAACUCAAAGGAAUUGACGGGGGCCCGCACAAGCGGUGGAUUAUGUGGUUUAAUUCGAAGCAACGCGAAGAACCUUACCAGGGCUUGACAUCCUACUAAUGAAGCAGAGAUGCAUUAAGUGCCCUUCGGGGAAAGUAGAGACAGGUGGUGCAUGGUUGUCGUCAGCUCGUGUCGUGAGAUGUUGGGUUAAGUCCCGCAACGAGCGCAACCCCUAUUGUUAGUUGCUACGCAAGAGCACUCUAGCGAGACUGCCGUUGACAAACGGAGGAAGGUGGGGACGACGUCAAAUCAUCAUGCCCCUUAUGUCCUGGGCCACACACGUAAUACAAUGGCGGUCAACAGAGGGAUGCUAAGCCGUGAGGUGGAGCGAA